rnacentral:rRNA from 2 species
GGACUACUAGGGUAUCUAAUCCUGUUUGCUCCCCACGCUUUCGUGCCUCAGUGUCAGUGCUGGUCCAGAUAGUCGCCUUCGCCACUGGUGUUCCUCCCGAUCUCUACGCAUUUCACUGCUACACCGGGAAUUCCACUAUCCUCUACCGCACUCUAGUGAUCCAGUAUCAAAUGCAGUUCCCAGGUUGAGCCCAGGGCUUUCACAUCUGACUUAAACCACCACCUACGCACGCUUUACGCCCAGUAAUUCCGAGUAACGCUUGCACCCUUCGUAUUACCGCGGCGGCUGGCAC